UGGGCACCCCACGGGCAGGUUCCUGCGGCCCUCGCCCUAUUGUCACCAUGGCUCAGCCACGCCCUGGCCCAGAGGACCAGGCUCUAGAUUGGAUGCUCAUACGGACAGAAGGGUGCCCCUUUGGAUCACUGCCGAAAUCCUUACUUGGGGCUCUGGGAGCAAAGCCUGCCGAACCCUCCAGGCUGGGCCGGGCAUCCUUCUGGUGCCCCACGGCCUCUGCCUUCUCCUUCGCCUUGGCUUCAGGCCGCCGGGCCCAGCCACUUGUAGCCGUAUGACCUUGGACAGUUGGUUAUAGAUCCGAAAGAAUUGAAAGCAGCACUCAAAGAGAUAUUUGUACACCCGUGUUCACAGCAGCAUCAUUCACGAUAGCCUAAGGGUAGGAAGAACGGAACGUCCCCCGAAGGAUGGGCAGAGAAACAAGCUGCAGAAUGUCCAUACAGCUGAGUAGUAUCCGGCCCCUGGAAGGGAGGGGUCCCGCGCACGCGCUACCGCACUGACAAACCUUGAGGACAUUAUGCUAAAUGAAAUAGCCAAGCACAAGAGACAAAUCCUGUGUGAUGGCACCUCUGUGAGGCCCCAGGGCAGCCAAAUCCGUAGAGACAAAGAGCAGAAUGAGGGGAGUGGGAGCUGCAGUUUGUAGAGCGGGAAUGGGGUGUCGGUUGUGGAAGAUGAAAAUGUCUCAAGUUUGGGAGUGCCACAGUCUGAAUAUACUGAGCACGACUGAAUUGUACACUUGAGAAAUGGUUACA